rnacentral:rRNA from 2 species
ACAGUGGACGCGAGCAUCUGUGGCCAAGUUUUUAAGGGCGCACGGUGGAUGCCUUGGCACCAGGAACCGAUGAAGGACGUGGGAGGCCACGAUAGGCCCCGGGGAGCUGUCAACCAAGCUUUGAUCCGGGGGUGUCCGAAUGGGGAAACCCGGCAGUCGUCAUGGGCUGUCACCCGCUGCUGAACACAUAGGCAGUGUGGAGGGAACGCGGGGAAGUGAAACAUCUCAGUACCCGCAGGAAGAGAAAACAACCGUGAUUCCGGGAGUAGUGGCGAGCGAAACCGGAUGAGGCUAAACCGUAUUGGUGUGAUACCCGGCAGGGGUUGCCAGUGCGGGGUCGUGGGAGUUCUCUUUCAUCGUCUGCCGGCGAUGAGACGAGUCAGAAACCGUUGAUGUAGGCGAAGGACAUGCGAAAGGUCCGGCGUAGAGGGUAAGACCCCCGUAGCUGAAACAUUGACGGCUCGUUUGAGAACCACCCAAGUAGCACGGGGCCCGAGAAAUCCCGUGUGAAUCUGGCGGGACCACCCGUUAAGCCUAAAUAUUCCCUGGUGACCGAUAGCGGAUAGUACCGUGAGGGAAUGGUGAAAAGUACCGCGGGAGCGGAGUGAAAUAGUACCUGAAACCGUGUGCCUACAAGCCGUGGGAGCGUCGCUGUAUGUGCUUGCACAUGCAGUCGUGACUGCGUGCCUUUUGAAGAAUGAGCCUGCGAGUUUGCGGUAUGUUGCGAGGUUAACCCGUGUGGGGAAGCCGUAGCGANGCAUCGAGUUUACUCGGUGCGUCGUGACUGCGUGCCUUUUGAAGAAUGAGCCUGCGAGUUUGCGGUAUGUUGCGAGGUUAACCCGUGUGGGGAAGCCGUAGCGAAAGCGAGUCCGAAUAGGGCGUUGAGUAGCGUGCCCAAGACCCGAAGCGGAGUGAUCUAGCCAUGGGCAGGUUGAAGCGGAGGUAAGACUUCGUGGAGGACCGAACCCACCAGGGUUGAAAACCUGGGGGAUGACCUGUGGUUAGGGGUGAAAGGCCAAUCAAACUCCGUGAUAGCUGGUUCUCCCCGAAAUGCAUUUAGGUGCAGCGUCGUGUGUUUCUUGCCGGAGGUAGAGCACUGGAUAGGCGAUGGGCCCUACCGGGUUACUGACCUUAGCCAAACUCCGAAUGCCGGUAAGUGAGAGCGCGGCAGUGAGACUGUGGGGGAUAAGCUCCAUGGUCGAGAGGGAAACAGCCCAGAGCAUCGACUAAGGCCCCUAAGCGUGUGCUAAGUGGGAAAGGAUGUGGAGUCGCAGAGACAACCAGGAGGUUGGCUUAGAAGCAGCCACCCUUGAAAGAGUGCGUAAUAGCUCACUGGUCAAGUGAUUCCGCGCCGACAAUGUAGCGGGGCUCAAGCACACCGCCGAAGUCGUGUCAUUGCAACAUGAGGACUAACGUCCGUUGUGAUGGGUAGGGGAGCGUCGUGUGCCGGGUGAAGCAGCCGUGGAAACGAGUUGUGGACGGUUCACGAGUGAGAAUGCAGGCAUGAGUAGCGAUACACACGUGGGAAACGUGUGCGCCGAUUGACUAAGGGUUCCUGGGUCAAGCUGAUCUGCCCAGGGUAAGUCGGGACCUAAGGCGAGGCCGACAGGCGUAGUCGAUGGACAACCGGUUGAUAUUCCGGUACCCGCUUUGAAACGCCCAAUAUCGAAUCAGACGAUGCUAAGCCCGUGAAGCCGGCCUGGAGUCUUCGGACAAAGGGACGUGGUGGAGCCGGUGACCCGGAUCUGUAGUAGGUAAGCGAUGGGGUGACGCAGGAAGGUAGUCCAGCCCGGGCGGUGGUUGUCCCGGGGUAAGGGUGUAGNGAUAUUCCGGUACCCGCUUUGAAACGCCCAAUAUCGAAUCCAUUAAUGCUAAGGCCGUGAAGCCGCCCUGGAGCCUUCGGGCAAAGGGGAGUGGUGGAGCCGCUGAUCCAAGGUGGUAGUAGGUAAGCGAUGGGGUGACGCAGGAAGGUAGUCCAGCCCGGGCGGUGGUUGUCCCGGGGUAAGGGUGUAGGGCGCUGUCNCCCGAGAGAUAGGCAAAUCCGUCUCUCGUUAAGGGUGAGACCUGAUGCCGAGCCGAUUGUGGUGAAGUGGAUGAUCCUAUGCUGUCGAGAAAAGCCUCUAGCGAGUUUCAUGGCGGCCCNCUAGGCAAAUCCGGACAGCUUGAAGCCUGAGACCUGAUGCCGAGCCGAUUGUGGUGAAGUGGAUGAUCCUAUGCUGUCGAGAAAAGCCUCUAGCGAGUUUCAUGGCGGCCCGUACCCUAAACCGACUCAGGUGGUCAGGUAGANCGUACCCUAAACCGACUCAGGUGGUCAGGUAGAGAAUACCGAGGCGUUCGGGUGAACUAUGGUUAAGGAACUCGGCAAAAUGCCCCCGUAACUUCGGGAGAAGGGGGGCCAUUUCCGGUGAUGGAAUUUACUUCCUGAGCUGGGGGUGGCCGCAGAGACCAGCGAGAAGCGACUGUUUACUAAAAACACAGGUCCGUGCGAAGCCGUAAGGCGAUGUAUACGGACUGACGCCUGCCCGGUGCUGGAACGUUAAGGGGACCGGUUAGUCAAUCUUCGGGUUGGCGAAGCUGAGAACUUAAGCGCCAGUAAACGGCGGUGGUAACUAUAACCAUCCUAAGGUAGCGAAAUUCCUUGUCGGGUAAGUUCCGACCUGCACGAAUGGCGUAACGACUUCUCGACUGUCUCAACCAUAGGCCCGGUGAAAUUGCAUUACGAGUAAAGAUGCUCGUUUCGCGCAGCAGGACGGAAAGACCCCGGGACCUUUACUAUAGCUUGAUAUUGGUGUUCGGUUCGGCUUGUGUAGGAUAGGUGGGAGACUGUGAACUCUGGACGCCAGUUCAGGGGGAGUCAUUGUUGAAAUACCACUCUGGUCGUGCUGGAUGUCUAACCUGGGUCCGUGAUCCGGAUCAGGGACAGUGUCUGGUGGGUAGUUUAACUGGGGCGGUUGCCUCCUAAAGAGUAACGGAGGCGCCCAAAGGUUCCCUCAGCCUGGUUGGCAAUCAGGUGUUGAGUGUAAGUGCACAAGGGAGCUUGACUGUGAGACUGACGGGUCGAGCAGGUACGAAAGUAGGGACUAGUGAUCCGGCGGUGGCUUGUGGAAGCGCCGUCGCUCAACGGAUAAAAGGUACCCCGGGGAUAACAGGCUGAUCUUCCCCAAGAGUCCAUAUCGACGGGAUGGUUUGGCACCUCGAUGUCGGCUCGUCGCAUCCUGGGGCUGGAGUCGGUCCCAAGGGUUGGGCUGUUCGCCCAUUAAAGCGGUACGCGAGCUGGGUUUAGAACGUCGUGAGACAGUUCGGUCCCUAUCCGCUGUGCGCGUAGGAGUCUUGAGAAGGGCUGUCCCUAGUACGAGAGGACCGGGACGGACGAACCUCUGGUGUGCCAGUUGUCCUGCCAAGGGCAUGGCUGGUUGGCUACGUUCGGAAAGGAUAACCGCUGAAAGCAUCUAAGCGGGAAGCCUGCUUCGAGAUGAGGACUCCCACCCCCUUUGAGGGGUUAAGGCUCCCAGUAGACGACUGGGUUGAUAGGCCAGAUAUGGAAGCGCCGUAAGGUGUGGAGUUGACUGGUACUAAUAGGCCGAGGGCUUGUCCUCAGUUG